rnacentral:rRNA from 1 species
CCAAUAGCGUAUAUUAAAGUUGUUGCAGUUAAAAAGCUCGUAGUUGAAUUUCGGGAUUAGUACGUUGGUCGUGCCUUAGGUACGUACUGGUGUUACUGGUUCCUACCUUCUGACGAACCAUCAUGUCAUUAAUUUGGUGUGGCGGGGAAUCAGGACUGUUACUUUGAAAAAAAUUAGAGUGUUUAAAGCAGGCUCGCGCUUGAAUACAUUAGCAUGGAAUAAUGAAAUAGGACGUUGACCCUAUUUUGUUGGUUUCUAGGAUUGACGUAAUGAUUAAUAGGGAUAGUUGGGGGCAUUAGUAUUCAAUUGUCAGAGGUGAAAUUCUUGGAUUUAUUGAAGACUAACUACUGCGAAAGCAUUUGCCAAGGAUGUUUUCAUUAAUCAAGAACGAGAGUUAGGGGAUCGAAGACGAUCAGAUACCGUCGUAGUCUUAACCAUAAACUAUGCCGACUAGGGAUCGGAUGAUGUUAAUUUUUUAAUGACUCAUUCGGCGCCUUACG